UACGAAGGGUGCAAGCGUUAAUCGGAAUUACUGGGCGUAAAGGGUGCGUAGGCGGUUGUUUAAGUCUGUCGUGAAAUCCCCGGGCUCAACCUGGGAAUGGCGAUGGAUACUGGACAGCUAGAGUGUGUCAGAGGAUGGUGGAAUUCCCGGUGUAGCGGUGAAAUGCGUAGAGAAUCGGGAGGAACAUCAGUGGCGAAGGCGGCCAUCUGGGACACACUGACGCUGAAGCACGAAAGCGUGGGGAGCAAACAGG
rnacentral:rRNA from 1 species